ensembl:lncRNA
AUGCAUGGGGCUCCUGGAACCAAUGCCCCCUCAGAUACCAAGGGCUGGGUGUUACCUGAAACCCCCCACGUGUGAAAAUUUGAGGCACUGUCAGAAGCUGGUGCUGGAGAAGACUCUUGAGAGUCCCUUGGACUGCAAGGAUAUCAAACCAGUCACUCCUAAAGGAAAUCAACCCUGAAUAUUCAUUGGAAGAGAGAAAAUUGGAAGAUGCCAAAGCUGAAGCUCCAAUACUUUGGCCACCUGAUGCAAAGAGCCAACUCAUUGGAAAAGAAUUUGAUGCUGGGAAAGAUUGAAGUCAAAAAGAGAAGGGGACAACAGAGGAUGAGAUGGUUGGAUGGCAUCACCCACUCAAUGGACAUGAAUUUGAGUAAUCUCCAGGAGAUAGUGGAGGACAGAGGAGCCUGCAGCCUGGCUGCAGUCCAUGGGGUCAUAAAGAAUCAGACAUGACUUUGUGACUGAACAACAACAAUAUAUUUCAAGUCAAUGGUGAAAAUUUUGUAACCACACAAUUUGUUGGUUUAGUCAAUGUAAUUAAAAUAUUUCAAGGACUUCCCUGGAGGUUCAAUAGUUAAGAUUCUGUUUUCAAUACAGGGGGCUCAGGUUUAAGCUCUGGUCUGGGAACUAAUAGCCCACAUACUGUCUGGCAC